UGCCAGCAGCCGCGGUAAUACGGAAGGUGCAAGCGUUGUUCGGAUUGACUGGGCGUAAAGCGCACGUAGGCGGGCGUGUAAGUCGAUUGUGAAAGCCCCGGGCUCAACCUGGGAAUUGCAGUCGAAACUGCAUGUCUUGAAUACCUGAGGGGUUAGUGGAAUUCCUAGUGUAGGAGUGAAAUCCGUAGAUAUUAGGAGGAACACCAGAGGCGAAGGCGACUAACUGGCAGAGUAUUGACGCUGAGGUGCGAAAGCGUGGGUAGCAAACAGGAUUAGAUA
rnacentral:rRNA from 1 species